GGGGGCGUAGCUCAGUUGGGAGAGCACCUGCCUUGCAAGCAGGGGGUCACGAGUUCGAAUCUCGUCGUCUCCA
rnacentral:tRNA from 1 species